rnacentral:rRNA from 1 species
AUUGAACGCUGGCGGCAGGCCUAACACAUGCAAGUCGAGCGAGCGGCGGACGGGUGAGUAAUGUCGGGGAAACUGCCUGAUGGAGGGGGAUAACUGCUGGAAACGGUAGCUAAUACCGCAUACCAUCAGAUGUGCCCAGAUGGGAUUGGCUAGUGGGUGGGGUAACGGCUCACCUAGGCGACGAUCCGUAACUGGUCUGAGAGGAUGAUCAGUCACACUGGAACUGAGACACGGUCCAGACUCCUACGGGAGGCAGCAGGGGGGAAUAUUGGACAAUGGGCGAAAGCCUGAUCCAGCCCUGCCGCGUGUGUGAAGAAGGCUUUCGGGUUGUAAAGCACUUUCAGCGGGGAGGCGUUACCCGCAGAAGAAGCACCGGCUAACUCCGUGCCAGCAGCCGCGGUAAUUC